rnacentral:misc_RNA from 1 species
UUUCCGUAGGUGAACCUGCGGAGGGAUCAUUACAGAGUUCUCGCCCUCGCGGGUAGAUCUCCCACCCACUGUUAUCGUUACUGUGUUGCUUUGGCGGGCCGCCGGGCCCCGCUCGGGCGCCGGCUCCGGCUGGCGGCCGCCCGCCAGAGGCCAAGCACACUCUUAAUGGUAGUGUUGUCGGAUUACUAUAUAAUAGUUAAAACUUUCAACAACGGAUCUCUUGGUUCUG